UACAGAGGUGGCAAGCGUUGUUCGGAUUUACUGGGCGUAAAGGGCGCGUAGGCGGCCACUGCAAGUCAGUUGUGAAAUCUCCGGGCUUAACCCGGAAAGGUCAGCUGAUACUGCAGGGCUAGAGUGCAGAAGGGGCAACUGGAAUUCUCGGUGUAGCGGUGAAAUGCGUAGAUAUCGAGAGGAACACCUGCGGCGAAGGCGGGUUGCUGGGCUGACACUGACGCUGAGGCGCGAAAGCCAGGGGAGCGAACGGG
rnacentral:rRNA from 1 species